rnacentral:rRNA from 1 species
GAUGAACGCUGGCGGCGUGCCUAAUACAUGCAAGUCGAGCGAACAGAUGAGGAGCUUGCUCCUCUGACGUUAGCGGCGGACGGGUGAGUAACACGUGGAUAACCUACCUAUAAGACUGGUAUAACUUCGGGAAACCGGAGCUAAUACCGGAUAAUAUAUUGAACCGCAUGGUUCAAUAGUGAAAGACGGUUUUGCUGUCACUUAUAGAUGGAUCCGCGCCGCAUUAGCUAGUUGGUAAGGUAACGGCUUACCAAGGCAACGAUGCGUAGCCGACCUGAGAGGGUGAUAGGCCACACUGGAACUGAGACACGGUCCAGACUCCUACGGGAGGCAGCAGUAGGGAAUCUUCCGCAAAGGGCGAAAGCCUGACGGAGCAACGCCGCGUGAGUGAUGAAGGUCUUCGGAUCGUAAAACUCUGUUAUUAGGGAAGAACAAAUGUGUAAGUAACUAUGCACGUCUUGACGGUACCUAAUCAGAAAGCCACGGCUAACUACGUG